rnacentral:rRNA from 1 species
CAAUAGCGUAUAUUAAAGUUGUUGCGGUUAAAAAGCUCGUAGUUGGAUUUCCGUUGAGGGAUACCGGUCUGCGGACUAGUUCGUAGCACUAGGAUGUUCCCUUGACAUCUCUUGGUAUGCAUGAUAGCGCUUGAUUGUGCUUCAUGGAUUCCGGGGCAUUUACUUUGAGGAAAUUAGAGUGUUUCAAGCAGGCGUCUGCCUUGAAUACAUUAGCAUGGAAUAAUAGGAUAGGACUUCGGUUCUAUUUUGUUGGUUUCUGGGACUGGAGUAAUGAUUAAUAGGGAUAGUCGGGGGCAUUCGUACUUAACUGUCAGAGGUGGAAUUCUUGGAUUUGUUAAAGACGAACUACUGCGAAAGCAUUUGCCAAGGAUGUUUUCAUUGAUCAAGAACGAAAGUUAGGGAUCGAAGACGAUCAGAUACCGU